AGUGAACGCUGGCGGUAGGCCUAACACAUGCAAGUCGAACGGCAGCACAGUAAGAGCUUGCUCUUACGGGUGGCGAGUGACGGACGGGUGAGGAAUACAUCGGAAUCUACUUUUUCGUGGGGGAUAACGUAGGGAAACUUACGCUAAUACCGCAUACGACCUACGGGUGAAAGCAGGGGAUCUUCGGACCUUGCGCGAUUGAAUGAGCCGAUGUCGGAUUAGCUAGUUGGCGGGGUAAAGGCCCACCAAGGCGACGAUCCGUAGCUGGUCUGAGAGGAUGAUCAGCCACACUGGAACUGAGACACGGUCCAGACUCCUACGGGAGGCAGCAGUGGGGAAUAUUGGACAAUGGGCUCAAGCCUGAUCCAGCCAUACCGCGUGGGUGAAGAAGGCCUUCGGGUUGUAAAGCCCUUUUGUUGGGAAAGAAAAGCAGCAGGUUAAUACCCCGCUGUUCUGACGGUACCCAAAGAAUAAGCACCGGCUAACUUCGUG
rnacentral:rRNA from 1 species